rnacentral:rRNA from 1 species
UGGGGAAUUGUUCGCAAUGGGCGCAAGCCUGACGACGCAACGCCGCGUGGAGGAUGAAGGUCUUCGGAUUGUAAACUCCUGUUGCUCGGGACGAAUGGCUCCGACCUAACACGUCGGAGUGUGACGGUACCGGGUGAGGAAGCCCCGGCUAACUCUGUGCCAGCAGCCGCGGUAAUACAGAGGGGGCAAGCGUUGUUCGGAAUUACUGGGCGUAAAGGGCGCGUAGGCGGCCUGCUAAGUCGAACGUGAAAUCCCCGGGCUCAACCCGGGAACUGCGUCCGAUACUGGCAGGCUUGAAUCCGGGAGAGGGAUGUGGAAUUCCAGGUGUAGCGGUGAAAUGCGUAGAUAUCUGGAGGAACACCGGUGGCGAAGGCGGCAUCCUGGACCGGCAUUGACGCUGAGGCGCGAAAGCCAGGGGAGCAAACG